rnacentral:lncRNA from 1 species
CUUAGUAAUUCUUUGACUGAUUGCCCUAAAUUUCAGUUUUAUACACUUUUCAAAUGUCUGCUAUUCAUUUAUAAUGAAAUUUAUUUGAUAAAUAUUGUUUAAAGCUACAGUUAUUUGGUUUUGAAUAGAUGUGUAAAAACGACAAAUAUGUGUCCCCUGUUGACAAAACAUCAGGAAAUUUCAAACACACUUUAAUCCAAAUUUUCCGAUGAUUUUUCUCAAAACAAAAACGUUUUAAAGCUAAGAAUAUUUUGCAU